rnacentral:rRNA from 1 species
GCCAGUGAUAAACUGGAGGAAGGUGGGGAUGACGUCAAAUCAUCAUGCCCCUUAUGACCUGGGCUACAAACGUGAUACAAUGGCUGAAACAAAGGGCAGCGAAGCAGUGAUGUGGAGCGAAACCCAAAAAGCAGUCUCAGUUCGGAUUGAAGUCUGCAACUCGACUUCAUGAAGUUGGAAUCGCUAGUAAUCGCGGAUCAGAACGCCGCGGUGAAUACGUUCCCGGGCCUU